rnacentral:sRNA from 1 species
UUUAGUCCAUUAUUAUUAUUUUGAGAAGCAUGAGUGUGUGCAGGCAGACAUGGUGCUGAAGAUAGAGUUGAAUGUUCUACAUAGUGAUCCACAGGCAGCAGUAGGAGACUAAAGGAAGCCUCUAAAGGAAGCCUGAACAUAGGAAACUUCAACGCCCACCCCACUACACAGUGACACACUUCUUCCAACAAGGCUUCAACUAUUCCAACAAGCUCAUACACCCUAAUAAUAGCACUCCCUGUGGGUCAUACAUUCAGACACAAGUCUAUGGGGACCAAAGUUAUUCAAACCACAAGGCUCAUCCCUAUACUAAAGUGAGUAUCUCUAACAGGCAGCUCAAGGGGCUGCAUAGGGUCACAACUAUUGCUAAGCCCUACCAUGCCACAAAGUCCUUAGUUCUUUCUUUGAGAAAACAUAAUAUUGUCAGGUAGACAAGAUGACCCUGAGUAGCAACCAUUUGGGAAAAAGAACAACACUGAUGUACUUGAAAAUUCUGGCAAUAUCUUUGCUAUAUAAGUCUCCCAUCUGCCUAUGCAACCAGACUUGCUGUCUCCUGUCUGUUUAAGUUACUCAAAGUGUGACCUGGGACUGGGACCUGAAAGAAACCUAAGAAUGACAGCAUAUGUAAAAUGCAUAUGACUAAAGUAUACAUAAGUUAGUAAGUCAUGUAUUCAAGGUUACCUCCUUUCUGGGCACUAGCCACAAUGUGACACAUGCUUUUUCUAUUAAGAGCUGUGUCUUAAUUUUCCUGAAUACAUGGAAUGAUUUUUUCAUCGUGGGAAGCACUAUUUCUGCAGUAAUCAGAGAGUUAAUAUUACUGCCAGGGCACUUAAUGUGGCUGAUUAGUAAAUCUCGUUAAUUUAUCAACAUAUGAUACAGAUUUACUGCUUUCAUCUGAAAGGCCCAUGAAGGUGACAGAAUCAAACAUUUAACAAUUUAAUGGAGGUGUAUGAAGGUAUGGGGAAAAUGAGAGAACUACCAGAAACUUAGGAAGAGAAGAUGAAAUGUCACCAUUGACUCCCAUAGAAAAAAAUCUUAUAUUUUGGAUUUUUAAAUAUAUGAUUUUUACCGUCACCUGGCAGUCAGACAGUGUAGAAAUCACAACUGGGAGCUGGGAGGGCAAGGCAGACAAAUGAUGCAGGAGGCAGAUAUGGGAGGACUGCUGGUUAGUCUCAUGCCAGUGAGCAAGUGUAUUUUCUCAGUGUCGUUUAAAGGCAAGCAACACAAAGCGUGACCAAUUCCAGAAAGAUAAACAAUGACCACAAGUGCUUCUGUGGUGAGUUUGUGGUAAACAGUAUCUGUGUAUGACUAAGGCCAUUUCCUUCAGGCUUGGAUAGUCUCUCAAGGACAUAUGUAUAAGCAGAAGAACCUGGCAGGGUAUAAUGCACGUCUUAAUUAAAAACAAAGAUAGCUGUUAGCUGAUGCAUUCAUGAUUAAUCACAAGCAAAAAGCCAGACAAAGUUAACUUUGGAUGUGCUCCCCACAUGUUCCACUGUUUUCUCUAUGCAAGCCAAAAUUGUCUCAACUAUUAGAGCAGAAAGACUGUGCUAUCUUAGGCAUUCCCUCAAGAAGUAUGGACCUUACCUGUCACUGGUACAUGAAUCCUAACAUUCAUGUCCUGUCUUAGGUUGAUUUACCUCUGAGAGAAUCUUACCCCCCCCCUUUUAUCUAUAAGAGGAACUUUAUCAGUCAUGAAGCAGAAAGUUGUGCCUGUUUUAGGUUGCAAUCAAAAACACAUCUUUCACCCAUCAUUGACACUCAAAUAAUCUUAUAUUUGUGGCCUGUCUUAGGUUGAGAAGGCUUUCAAGACAAUCUCACCUGCCAUUGACUACCAACUUCUACUAGAGAAGAUGUUGGAGCAUAAACUUAGGAGACUCUGCUUUGACAUCUGUAAAAGCUCAGAUGAUUCCUCUCAAAAGAACAGGUGGUUCCCAACCUCCACUGACUGCCCUGCAGGCCGGGGCAAACUGGCACCCAGACAUGAGGCUUUUGGAAGUCACAGAGGAGAGAAUGCCGCUCACCAGGGAAGGAUAGGCCUCUCCGUUUAUCACAAAAGCACCAGAGAGUGACUUCAGCAUGAAGACACCCACAGUACCCGCGUGAGACAGCCUGGGAGAUUGCAGAGCUGGUGCAGAUCUUACGGGCCUUUCACCCAGUAAGACAGCUUGGUGAAGGACUGCUACUGGAGCCCUGGAAUUCGGAGGCAUGGAGAGGGCUGUAGCUCUAUUAAAGAAGUUCAGGCAACAGAGCAGAGGAUUUAUGUGAAGUGGAGUCUUUUGGGACAUGGCAUUGUCAUUGCCCCAUGAAAUUACUGUGUCUAUCCUACUUGCACAAGAUCAACAGGCAACAACAGGAGAUGACCUGAAGGGGGAAGAGAAGCAGGUAAGAGGGAGGGAGCUGGGAGUGUACAUGAUCAAGAUGCAUUUAUCCUGGAUGAAAUUGUCAGAAUCAAUAGAAGAUACUCUAGUUUUAAAGUAGAAUUUAAUUUAAAUUAAGAAUUGCAAUUAAGAAGUGGAAAAAGGGUCAAGAGUGAUGGUCACACCUUUAAUCCCAGCACUGGGGAGGCAGAAGAAGGUGGAUUUUUGUGAGUUAGAGUCCAGUGUGCUCUACAUAGUGAAUUCCAGGACAGUCAGGGAUGUUGCACAGAGAACUGUCUGGAAUACCUCCUGAUUCCUCUAAAAAAGUAAUGGGCAAAGAACCUGGAUAUACAUACAAUGACCAGCUUAAAAUUUCUGACAUCAUUGCCAAGUAGAUAUAAAUCUAGACCCAAAUUAAAUAUCAAAUCAUACCAGUUAGAAUGGCUGUUAGACCAGAUGAGGGCAUAGUUCAGUGAUAAAUAUUUUCCUGGAAUGAAUGAGGUUCGCAGAUUGACCCUAGCAUUACAAUAACCAAGACAUGCAAACAACAAAACAUUUGUUGGAAAUGAUGUAAGUUUCCUUGUACUUUGUCUCUUGGAAUGAAAAUUAAUAGGAUAUUUGUGGAAAAUAGUAGAAGAAUUGUUUUAAAAAGUAAGAAAACUUUAAGAUCAUCACAAACAACAAACGAACAAACAAGACAAAAACCACAGCCAAUCAAAAUGCCGAGUUGUGGAGCUCAAUCCCAUUGACUAUAUCCACAAAACAGCUCCUGCAUCUAAAGUUCAGAAAGCACUGGGGAAGAGACGGCAGAAAGAUUAUAAAGGACAGAGGAUAUUCUCCAAGUUGUAAUUGUAUUAUUACCAGUGGACCACUAGCUACUUUAACAAUCUGUCAGUUUGCUUGCUUGCUUGUUUGUCCCCAAGAUUUUUAGAAAACCUUCUCUCUGUAAAUUUUAUCAGCCUCUUUACAAUACACUUAGAACUGAUACAUGAGAACUGAUACAUUAGCAGUUCUCCAUCUAUUUUUCUUUAUUUACUUGUUAUUGAACCCAGUGCUCUAAUGUAAAGAUGAAGGUUAGGGUCAAAAGGAAUAUUGGGUUUAGAAAGGAGAAGAGUUCAUAUUUGAGAAUGGGUAAUCAUACCAGCUGACUAGGUACAAAGAAGAACAGGGCUUGGAGCCAGGGUUGGAAGGAUGGCUGGCUCCCCUGAACUCCAACCCUGAGGAACAUAGGCGAAGCACUGUCCUCUUUCCAUGUAUUCUUGCUUCUACAGUAUCUACCUAUAACAGACCAAAUUGUUUAAAAAAAAAAACAAAGAAGACAUUUCUAAACAUCCUCCACCUAGUUCAGUGGCAGACUACCCCAGACUGCCCUACAGUCACAGUUAAAUACAAGGGUAACAGAGAACAGCCAGCUGCACCUGACAGGGAUGAGAGUAGUUAACUCCAUGGUAAAACUACAAAUGAGGGCACACUUUAAUUAGCAUCCAUCAAUAUCUACAUCUCCAAGGUCCACAGUAGCAACACUAACCAGGUUAGCAUAUGGUCAAGGCAGACAGCUAUUGAGAAAUGAGCAGGGGUUUCAAAGUCUGACCUCUUCCCCAACUUUCAUGAGCACUUUCUGCUAGAAUUGUAGGUGAACGAGCUUUUGCCUUUCCACGAGGUCAGAACUUAGUGGAAAAUAAUAAAUUCACAAAGUUUAACAGAUGUAAUGACAGCAUUUUUUCAUAAAAUACACCUACCUUGGUGACCUGAGGGAAAGCAAGUUCUUUCAUUCCAAUUCUAUUUACUAAUAUCAACAUUCAUAGCACACAGCACAGGGCAAGUCGUAUCUAUCUAUGGGUUACAGACUGGAUAUUUGUGAAAGUAAUUAUAGCAGAGUUCAAGAGGCUGCAGAUGUGGCUUGAGAAAUAGCCUGUCUAAGAGAUAAGAUAAGUAAUCGGACCAGUGCUACCAGGGAGCUGCUUGUGACAGCCUUGAGAACAAGGCUACAGAAUUCAAGGUGAAGAGGUCAAGCUGGGUCCAGAGCAGUAAACAGGUCAGGUCCAUGUUCAGAUGAGAGAGCAGGUAGAUGAUAGGCAGCUGAAUAGGCUAUGUCAAGCGUGUAUGACCAAGCUAGACUGAGGAGCUACUUCACACACACACACACACACACACACACACACACACACACACACACACACACACACCAGAUAUCAGAUGAUAAUUUGGUGUGAGGGUAUACUGUCAUAGUGUCUAGGUAGGUAUACCUUGAUUUUGAUAAAUUCUUUGGGUCUGGUUUUCUCUGAUAAAAUUUUAAUAUAUCCAUGUGCAUGUUGUCUCCCCAAUAAACUUAUAGGGUGGCUCCCUUUAUUCCCCUAAGAAUAAGGCUUUUAUCAGCUUGUGCUAGGUGAAGUGGUGAUGCAGUUUCUGGGUCCACCAAGGGUUGCUGUUUUUCUUCUCCCUCAGAAUGGAGUUGAAGCUGCUUGUAAAAUGCAGUCUCCUAGUACAAGGCACAGAAAUGGAAACGUAGUUUCUGUGGAAAGUCACCUAUGUCAAAUGAUGUUUUGCUGGGGCACACAGGUGAAAGGAUAUUUUGAUAUGACAAACAUGUGAGAGGACCCUUGAUGAAGGAGUAUACUAAAAAAGACCCCACAGAUAGUGAGAGACAAGCGGAGAGCAUUGGGCUGGUUUUCUCUGCCUGCUACUCUUUGCUAACUACACACGUGUGUUGGUUCACCUUACACAGUCUUGUUGAGCUCCACCAGUUGGGAUGUCAGAGAGAAACUCACCAAAGAACUGCUUGUGAGGUUCCUGUGGCAGAUUACUGCUUCUACAGCCUUCACUCAGGCCAGUUGGCAAGUCUUGUGGUUUCUUUUCUUUUCUUUUCUUUUCUCUUCCUUUCUUUUCU